UAGGGAAUCAUCCGCAAUGGGCGAAAGCCUGACGGUGCAAUGCCGCGUGAACGAUGAAGGUCUUCGGAUCGUAAAGUUCUGUUAUGAGGGAAGAACAAGUGCCGCACGAAUAGACCGGCACCUUGACGGUACCUCACGAGAAAGCCCCGGCUAACUACGUGCCAGCAGCCGCGGUAAUACGUAGGGGGCAAGCGUUGUCCGGAAUUAUUGGGCGUAAAGCGCGCGCAGGCGGUCUCUUAAGUCUGAUGUGAAAGCCCACGGCUCAACCGUGGAGGGUCAUUGGAAACUGGGAGACUUGAGUGUAAGAGAGGAAAGUGGAAUUCCAUGUGUAGCGGUGAAAUGCGUAGAUAUAUGGAGGAACACCAGUGGCGAAGGCGACUUUCUGGCUUACAACUGACGC
rnacentral:rRNA from 1 species